GACGAACCGUGCGAACGUUAUUCGGAAUCAUUGGGCUUAAAGGGCGCGUAGGCGGCGGUGUAAGUUGGAAGUGAAAUCCCAUCGGCUCAACCGUGGAAUUGCUCCCAGUACUGCACUGCUCGAGGGGGAUAGGGGUCUGCGGAACUACCGGUGGAGCGGUGAAAUGUGUUGAUAUCGGUGGGAACGCCAGUGGCGAAAGCGGCAGACUUGACCCUUCCUGACGCUGCAGCGCGAAAGCUAGGGGAGCAAACAGG
rnacentral:rRNA from 1 species